rnacentral:misc_RNA from 1 species
CGGACGAGAGAAAAAGAGGUGCCUCAUCGCUCCCUCUGCACGCACGUUUAUAUGUGGGUGGUCAGCACGCGAAGACGAGCAACUACAACGCACGCCUCACAUACGCAAACACGAAAAAAAAAGGCAAAACAUAAUACGCUCAGAGUGGGGGCCGGCCUUUGUGCGUAGUGCAACCAGCACCAUCGCUAACUCAUCCCACUUUCUGUAUCGCUUUCUUGGGUUUCCCCUUCCGUGGCUCCUCUUGUUCUUUUUAGUCCACCGAGGCCGUCUGAGAAGACACACGUGAGUGGAAGAGAGAGGGAGGCGCACACGCGCAAAGGCAAAACACGGCGCAACGGAUAUGUUGGCUUCUCCGCUCUCUCUCUCUCUCUCCCUUAAACUUUCAUGUUUGCAUCAUCACACACACACACGAGGACAUCUGUGCUUUUUCUCCACAUCCUUUUUUUUUUCGUAUUUGGUUUGGGCAGCGCUUCAACGCCGCAUUGUGGGCGAGGCAGACUUAAACGUGCGACCUACUGUCGCACUGCCUAGCAGAAGAGGGGGAGCCGUACGCUUCACACCGUCUCACCGCACCUGCUGAUGGAAUCGCCUCCGGCCCAGGCUGUCUCUGGAGAGCAGCGUGCCCGUUUGCUAGAGCUGGAAGAGCGGCAGCGUCAGCUCAAGCGCCUGUGCGAGGAGGCACUCAGGGAAGAGGAGCAGCAUCAGCAAAUUCUCCAGCAAUUAGAGGAGCACAACACGGCCGCCGCGUCGUCUGUUGGGUCGUUCGCGGGUGGCAGCGCCGGGAGCUUUACCGGCGCUGCAGCUCUGCAUGUGAGGCCUUUCUCGCCCAGCGCCGCAGCAGAACCACUCGACGACUUGCUGACAGGCGAGGUGCAGUCCUUUCGUGACCCCAACAGCAUUGUCCGAGACUCCUCCACCGGCAGUGUAGCCGCAGCGCCCUUGCUGCGUGGUGGAUCGUCGUCGAAUCCGCGCAAUCCUUCUAUGGACCGGCCGCGCACUCGACUCGACAGUAGCUAUCGGCCACCGACGUACCCGCUGCCAACGGCGUCCGCCACACAGCCGCCUCCCCCGCCGCGAGCAAUGUUGUACACUGCCUCUCGCCGGCCUAGAGAAGAGGGAAGCCGGGCAGACGCAGCGGCCAUAAAUGGCAGCAUUCAGCCUUCCAUAUCUGCGCCAGCGAUGUCUUCGUCCCUACCAGUAACCAAGACGUGGUGGCAUGGUGAAAAGGGUGCUGCAGAAAAAAGAUCAGGAUCGAACGCCGCGGCCGCCGCUUGCACGCCAGCCGAGAGAGUCGGCGCCGGCUAUGGCGCGUACGCCGCCUGUUCCCCGCCCGCUGCACCCGCGCCCCUGUCGCCACCACCACCGCCGCCGCCGCCGGAGCGCAGUCGCAGCCGCAGCCCGGGCUGCAGCGGCCCCCUGGUAGAUCGGCUAUGGCGCAGUGAUGUCCGUCACCACCACGGCAUCCCUCCCCCACCUCCACCAGCACCGAACGCAGUAGAGGCCACGGUCUCACCUUUCUCCGUGCUGUACUCGCGGACACUCGGCGCGCGUGCAGGCUUGUCGCCGCCGCCAUCACGGCCCUCACGCUCAUCUGCGCCGCCGUUGGUCUCUCCGGAUGACGUCGCGGACAACCUUCCACCACCGCCUCCGCGCGCGCACAGUUGUGCCGCUGCCUCGCACAACGUGCAACCCAGCAUGGCAAAUAAGUACCGCAGGUCGCGUAGCUUCCUCAACGCAGACCCGCCGCUGCCACCGCCGCCGCCGCCGCCACCACCGCCAACAGCCCACACAGACCUGGGUGGCGACUCGAUCCUGUCGACAACUUCAACGGAGCGCGUCAUCGAGCGAUGGAGGCAUCGAUUGAGCUGCAGCGAUGCACUCGGGCAGCGCGAUGGUCACUACACCAGUAGCGGGUACGAUCGGAGCGGGGCCGCAGGUCAGAAGCCCUCCAUUACCCGUCCAGGCACAAGGGUGGGCGUCACGUUGGCGGAGCGCCGCACCCCUCAGGCAUCUGCCGCUCCGCUACUCUCCGUUCCUUAUCGCGAGAGUGCCACCAGAGAAGGCGUCAAGGUCGCAAGCCGGGUACCGCCGCCACCACCACCGCCGCCUGUGUCUGGUACCGAUCCUCUUUCCUCACCAGCCCGCUACAACGAAGGCAGAACCGAGGACGAGUCGCUUCCAAACAGAUGGGAGACGGCGUCAUUGACACCGAGUCUGCGAAGUGCGGAAGAGAGGCGCCUGCGCAGCUACUUUGCGAAACCAGACGGAGACGUUGGCAGUUCAGCUCCGGCACACAAAGACUACGCGAGCUACAGCCGCCAGCGUGUGCUGGGAUCUCGCGAUGGAGUGAAGAACGCUCGAGCUGCACUGCUUGAAACCGGUGGCACGGCUUCCUCCACCUCCGCUCCGGCGGCGGCAAGGUCCGAGGGCAGCGUCAGCGCCUGGCAACAAACUUCUCGCGCGGCGGAGCCGCCAUUGCAUCGGCGUUCGACAGCUGCCCAUUUUACCUCCUCAGCACCCUCUGUAACUGAGGUCCUUCCACCGACACCGGCCAAGGCGAAGCCCAAGAAGACGGUCCUUCAUCCGUAUGGGUUGCAGCAGUCACAGUCUUCCUCGCUCUCACCCCCACCAGAGCCCAGUCUCAGAAAUGCAGCAGCUAGAAACGGAUGUGGCGCCUCUCGGCACAGAAGCGGUGCGCCGGCGCCUCUGUUUUCGGCGCUUUCCGCGAAGCAUCAACGAAGCACCUUGUCCGCCCUGAACAGAAGCAAUCUCGACUCGGCAUGGGGCAACGGCGGCACCUCACUCCCUGCGCAGUCGGAUGUCAAUGGCGCGGCAGCCGCCCCAGCACCGCAUGCCUCUGUCGCAGCUUCGGACAGCGACUACUUCGACAUAGGACCCGAGAAGGAGGCGCUGCUGACACUGCUGCAGGAAAGCACCCGCGGCGCACCAGGGAGCAGUGCCGGUGUCGCGUUCCCAGCUACCAGCCGCUCGUCGUCGAUACAGCCGUGGGCGUCGUCCUCGGUGGUAACUAACGUCGCAGGCGGCGGUCAAUCAGCUGAGAAAGCACUCCCCUACCCUCCCUCGGCCCGCCUGUCUGACAGCAAGCAGACACAGAGUUUUGGUGCUCCGCCCACGAUGACGACGCUGCCGCCUCAUAAUAAAGACUCAGCAAGGCGGCACUCCAAUUUCGACCUGUCGGUGGGCACACCGCUCCCGCUCGGCGGAAGCGGCAAAGCAGCCGCUGGGGGAGCGCAGCACGGCAACGAGGUGGCUGCGGCGCAGCUGCAGCAGAAAUACGACGCUGCGCAGACCAAGGCAGAAGCGCUGGCGCGGCACCUGGUGAAGGCCAUCAGUGACCGCAAAAUGCUUCAGGGCAGCGUAGAGCAGCUGGAAAUGCUUGUGGAGGAGUGCAACGCCGAGGUGGGUCGGCUUCAGCAGAUUGUGGAGCAGCAGCACCAAGACAGGGCCACCUCCCUCGGGGUGCAGGCAGCACUUCGCGCCAAGGAGCGGGAGGUGGCUGUAUACGAGGACGAAAUCCGGCGACUCAACGUGGUGCUGAAUGGGCACCUCACCCGCACGGCCACCGCUGAGCGUGUGGCGCAGGACAGUGUGCAGCACGGACUGGUGGUUAAGGAGGCGGAGGUGGAGGCGGCCAUGGCAGAGGUAGGUAUGGCGCAUCUGGCGCAGCGGGAGGCGGAGGAGCGAGCCAGCCGGCUGGCGAAUGAACUGGACACAGCGGUGGAGCAGAUACAGUUUCUCGACGAGCGCCUUGCUGAGAUGGAGCGGGCUGCGGCUGCAGCACGCUUCCAGGCGAUGUCUGGACGCAUCACCGAAGAAAACGACGUGAACCUGGACGGCGGCACCGUCGCUCCCUCACACUUGAGCCCAGCAGCGCACAUCACCAUGCCCCCCGACGAAGAAACACGGCACUGGCCGCCGGAAGCGCGGCAAGCGAUGGCGCAGCUUGCCGCACAGGCAGAAGGGCUGCUUUUCAAAAAUGCGGAGGGGGAGCGUCACGCCUCGAUGCGGCUGCAGCACGUGGAGAACACCUGCAACGAGCUUCAACGGCACCUCCGACAGCGCGGCGAGGAGGUGGAGCGUGCGCGUGAGGCAUGCGAGCAGCUUCGACAGGAAAAGAGCGCCUUGCAGACGGUAGGAGGACUGUGGUAUCAGCAAUUACGUGAAGUGAAAGAGGAUGCGCAGCUCGUCUCGGAGAUGGUGCGCACCUCCCGCGAAGACGCAGAGGACGUGUAUCUGUCCUCGACAAUGGCAGAAGAGCGCGCUGCUGUGCACUGUGCCGCCGCGGCAGCGGCAAGUCCGCUGCAGCCCCUACCGAGCCCAGCGCCGACGGAUCCCGCAACUUUGAAGAAAUCUGCGCAGUUCGCGCGGCAGGUGAUGCGCGACUUUCAUGCGGUAGCACGCUUUCUCUCAAGCCUGCGCACGAUGAACAUAGGGGACAGCAACGGGUACCAAAUCCUGCAGGCUAUCGCUAGUGGCCGCCACCCAGCCGAAGCUCUCUACACCGCUGACGACACCGCCACGCCGAAGCGGCUGAGCGAGCUGCUCCGCCCUAACGAAGCGACGGAGGCAAAGCGCCGCGUGCAAGAGAAGAAGGCUCGCGUUCUGCGUGCCGUGGAGCAGGCCUUGAUUGUAGAGCCGGUUUCGGCCGCUGCGUACGUUUCGGUAGACACGCCACACAAUCGCCCCUCCAGCGGCGCCACCAUCACACUGGGUCUGCCGCCCCGCGCGGGAGGGCAACCGCCAACAGCGGAAGCAGAGGCGGAGGAAUGUGAGGUGCCCGACGCCCUCGAGGACGAUCUGGCGAACGAUGAUGAAGUAGAGAUGGAGGUGGUGUCCUCCUCGCUGCACCCAACGCGGAUGGGCAGCCACAGCCUCCGCGACGGCAGCAACGGCAUGGUACACAGCGAUGUGCGCCGGCGGCCGGCGUCUGACUCAGUGACCUCCUUGCCGCUCAACCGAGUGCCGCCAACCGCGUCCGCCUCAGAGGCCAGCUGUGCACCUUCAGCGCUUGAAGCCUCGCCGCCACCGGCCCCGCUCGCGUCCGAUGGCAGGCCGUUCUGCAGCACGUCGUUCAUGGGCGGCAACGAGGCCCCCAGCACCACCUCGACAUCUCGGCCCACCGUGGCCAAAGCGGCGCCGGCGCCACCCACCCCGCUGCCGUCCGUCUCGCGACCGCUGCGCCUCUCCACCACGCCGUCGCAGCCGCAGCCAGACGGCAAAGAAGAGAAUGAGGAAGAGGCGGUGGCAUUCUCUGACGAGCAGUCGAGCCCGACUUGCGCGCUGUCGCACACUGUCCUUAGGGCCGACUCGAUGCCGAUCCGCGGAAACGGUGCCGGCGCCGACUUCGACAUGUCCUCCAUCACGCUCGUGUCAUCCCCCUCCAUGUCGCAACAGACGUUUCAUCAGCAAACGGCGACGGUGCAACAGUCAUCGCUGCCGUCGACACUUGCCGUCACCGCUACACCGCCGGCGGAUCUCACAGAGGGUGCCCCCGCCGCGCGCCCUAAUGCUUCCGUACCGCUGCAGGUGCAGCAACAGCACAGGUCGAUGCCCGCGACACAAGAGAGUAUUUCGCCGCCGUCGCGUCUCCGCUCCCCGACCCCCAAUCGCGUGCCUGCGGUGUGGGCUGAGAUGCACGCCGAGGAGGACCUUAUCACGUCUCCCGUCGAGCGGCCGAAGCCUUCUCAGUCGUUUGCGGACGAACCCCCGCCUCGAGUGGUGUGCGACGGAAACACACAGCCGGUGCAUCUAGGCUCGCGGCCGAAGGACCGCAGCACCACCGCGCGUCCGUCCUCUACGCCGCACCCAGGCUCGCUCUCCGGUACGCGCUACGGCUUCGAAGCGGGAGAUGGAGAAAAAACUGUUGCGCCGCCGCGACACACAGGCCGACUCCGUCGUGGGGCAAGCGACGAAAGCAAUGACAAUGAGGCCACGCUCUUCUUUCGCGAGCCGCCUCGUGGUGAAGUGCAGGAGGUGGCCGCCGAGCCAACGUCAAUCCCAUUGCAGAAGCAACACUCUGGCGUAGCGGUGGACCUCCUCAGCGAUGGCUUUGCCAUUUCGUCUCGCAGGGCCCCUGCAGCCGCCGUGGCACCGGCGCAGGACGUCUCAGUCUCUCCGGAUCACACCUCCGUAAUCGAAGAGGAAGAAGCCGACUUGGAAGAGCGAGUGCCGUCCGCUGGCGCAGCAGCAAAACGCCUUUCGCUGCACCUCGAGUCGCCGUUAAAAGGGGUACAGUCCGCCGCCUCGUCUGUGCCGGCCGUUACUCGUGGGACUCUGAAGGACUCAACGAUGAAGAAGCCGAGUUCGUCUUGCACUCGCAGUGUCGUCGAAGAUGACGAGCCAUCCUUAAGUUUUUUGGCGCCGCCACCGCCGCUACCGCCACCGCCGCCGGUACAACCACAAGUACGACCAUCACCUUCGCAGGAGCAUGCACACGGAGCGCCAGAAGUUGAUGCCUUGGCGCGCACGUCGCCGGCAGAAGCGUCUGUGUCGGGCGCCGGUCACUCGCGAGCGAUGGAGGGCAAUGACGGCUCUGUAGCCUCUAUCGACAACGCCCCGCUCUCCCCGUCGUCCUUGAGCGGCAGCUUUGCAGGCGCACCGCACCGGAUGCUGCAUCAACCACGCCGGCCAUCAGCGUCUGAUGUCGGGCCAAGUCUGAGCUCAGUAGGGGGUGCGUUUGCCCCUCCGCGUCUGCAGCGCUCGACUGGCUCGUCGCCAUCGGUAGAAGCCCAGCCUCUUCUGUGCAUCGUAACCCCCGGGCCAGCGGCUGCAGUGGGUGCCACCGCCAGCGUUGGCCAGCACAGCCGCAGCGGUGCUCGACCUCUCACGGCGAGCUUGCCGCGUGAACACCCUUGCCCAGAGGUGACGCCCGCGCUCGUGGAGCCGCAGCGCCCCUCUCCGUCGGCGCGACCUGUUCCGGCCGCAAUGCGCACAAAUCCUGUAACCCCGGGCGAUCCUGUCGACUCCACUGCGGCGACGGCUGCAGGGCCGUCGCCACUGGAGGAAAAGACCUCGCCGGUGCCCGAAAAGGCGGAAGCGUCACGGGCCCGAUUGGAGGGAGUCACUCACGUCGAUGAUUCCCUGCGAUGCAACAGCAAGGUUAGUGCAAACACGAUGUCAGAGACACCUGGAAGUCGGCUUCCAAGCAUCGCCUCCACAGCAGCGCCCGAAAGUCCGAUGCACGCGUUAGAAGAGCUCUCGGCAGCUUUGCGCCUACCAGGUGUGAUGCGCAGCGACACACCUGGAAAUGUGGGCAGUGCGGUCUCGCCUCUCGCCGAGCCGCUGCAGGCGGCUCCUGUGCACGCACGUGAGCUUCCUGCGCGCGCAGGAAACAGCGCCGUCCCACGGAGUAGCCCUCACGAGGGAGCGUCACCCGCGCCCCUUCCCGGGGUCAACGUCGACGCGCCGGAGUCGAACACGCUAAACCUGGAACGCGCCUCACCGCGAUCGGCACCACCCGUUGCAGCCCAGGCGCCACCAUCCACCAUCUCCACUCCGCGUAGCCGCAGCGGAGGUCGAGAGGGCCCGGCCAGCGUUCGGAACUCGACCCCGACAGAGCCGCCGGUGUCGGAUGAGGCCGCUGCGAGACGCCGUGAAGAUGUCGCCAAUAUACUGAAGCGCAUAAAGGCGAAGAAGGAGCAGGAGCAAAAAAGGAGUUCUGAGGUGGGCACGCCGACGAGCCCCACGUGGAGCGAAAGCGCCUCUUCUGGAACGAAAGACGUGGACUCCCCAUCCAUGUAGCGCGCCUCGGUGUCUCUCUGGAGCCUCUUCGUGUGGCAGAGACGCGGCAAAAAUACCGAUGAAGGCCCGCGAGCACGUCUUUUUCUCCCGCCUCUGCUCACCAGCUCCUUGAAGCACAUACGCGCACACGCACACACUUAUUCCCCACCACGAUGACGCUAACGCUUCGCACACCUUGACGCGCGCCCAUCUGCACUUUACCUUCAACCGGUGUGCGUGCCGCCGCUGCUGCAGCAGCAGUGGCGGCCUCUCUCUCUCUCCUCCCCCUCACGCCGUCCCCGCGAGCCGCCCGUGUCGAGCGCGCUUCUAUGUUGUGGUUUCUUCCCUCUGUAUUACUUUCGCUUAGAGUUCUUUUUUUUUGCUUUCGUUGUUUUUGUGUUACUGCGCACCGCUCUGUUUGUCCUAAGAGCAUGCAGGAUUAAAAAAAAAAAAGAAGGAUGUCUCUCGCCUUUCGUCUCCCUCGCCGUCCUCCCUUGCUUGCAGCG